rnacentral:lncRNA from 1 species
GAAUUUUAAAAAUCCAUACAUCAACUCAUAUUUCUCUAAAAAUUAAUUAUUAAUCAGCCAUUAUAAGAAAAAAAAGAAAGAGAAAGCAAGCAAGCAAGGAAGAAAGAAAGAAAGGAAGGAAGGAAGGAAGGAAGGAAGGAAGGAAAGAAUAAAUAAAUAAAGGAAAGAAAGAAAGAAAGAGAAGAAAAAGGAAAAGAAAGAAAGACAGAGAGAAAGAAAGGAAGGAAGGGGGAGGGUCAGAGGGAAGGAAAGAAGAAAGAGUGAGUCAGACAAGGAGAUGUGAGUUAGCUUUGUAAAUAUCCAUAAUCCAUUUUUAACUAUAACUAAGAAAUCACGUUGUCCAAGGCCUUGGGAGUCCACUCCUUGUACCAGUAUGCCUUGGAUGUUGGACACGAAAUCAAAAGAGAUUAUUUUGGAGCUUUAAGUUUUAAUGACUGCCUUGCUGGGAUUCAAACUUGCUUGGGGCCUGUAUCUUCUUUCUUUUGGUCAAUUUCUCCCUUUUUGAACAGGAAUGCUUACCCAAUUCCUAUACCUCCAUUGUAUCUUGGAAGUAAAUAACCUGAUUUUUAUUUUACAGGAUCAUAGAUGGAAGGGACUUGCCUUGUCUCAGACAGGACUUGGGACUUUUGAGUCAAUGCUGGAAUCAGUUAAGAAUUUAGGGGACUGUUGGGAAGGCAUGAUACCAUUUUGAAAUGUCAAAAGGGCAUGAGAUUUUCAAAGGGCCAGAGCAGAAUGAUAUACUUUUCAGAAUGAUAUCCCCCAAAUAUCAUGUUGAAUUGUAAUCCCCAAUGCUGGGGUGAGGUCUUGUGGGAGGUGUUUGGAUCAUGGAGGCAGAUCUCUCAUGACUUGGUACUUACUUCAUGAUAGUGAGUUCUCAUGGGAUCUAGUCCUUUAAAAGUGUGUGGCACCUCCUCUGCUCACUCUCUUUCUUGCUCCUGCUUUUACCAUGUGACGUGCCAGCUCUCCCUUUACCUUCUGCCAUGUUUGGGAGCUUCCUGAGGCCUUCCCAGAAGCAGAUGCCAGUAUGCUGCCUGUACAACCUGCAGAACUUUCACAGGUUCCAGGAUAACCAGAUGACUGAGGAAUGUUGAAGAUUGCAGUGAUGGAAGUGCCUCAGUCAGCCUGGAAGACUGUAUGGAUGGAGGUUGCCUGGCCACACUGUCAUGUCCCUCUCUCCCUGAAAAAGAGACACAUUUGCCUUUGGGCAAGGCAAUACAUACAUUUGGUCUAUGUAUACACUUUGGUCUAUGCAUUCUGUUAUUUAACAUUCUAAUAAUGUUGAUGACCUUAAAAUAUGCUUGACAAUGAUCCGUGUAAAUCAUUAUUAUUCUGCCUUCUGCAAGAUAAGAAUUAUGGGCCAGGUAUGGCACUUAACGCCUAUAAUACAAACAUUUUGGAAGGCCAAGGCAGGAGGAUUGCUUGAGCUCAGGAGUUAGAGACCAGCUUGGGCAACAUAGUGAGACCUCAUCUCUACUAAAAAUAAAACAAAAAAAGUUAUGAGAGUGACACUGCACUCCAGCUUGGGUGACAGAGCGAGAUCCUGUAUCCAAAUAAAUAAAUAUCUAAUAUAGGAAUUAUCAAAUUCAACACAUAUUAAUUAUUUUCAUAUCCAUUUAUGGAAAAUAAUAAUGUGGGGAUGAUUCUUAAAAGGGAUUCUGGAAGUGGUUUCUUCAAUUAAAUAUAUUCAAAACUCAUUCCCGCUUACUACACAAAUCAAAGAGGAAUUGAAAAUGUGUGUGAUUCCCACUAAAUUAUUUUCCUUUCAUAUGGCUUGAUGUUACUGUCUUUGUGGAGUGGCUGAGAAAUGUCUCCUUCUUGCCUUUAUCUUCAAAGGCUCUGCCAAUGUGAAGUACAGGAGAGAGAGGCAAGAGCAGGGCCCACUAGUGGAAUCAUCUCAGCCUUAUUCCCCAGGGGAAAACACAUUCUUUUUCACUUUCCUGAGCUGCCUUAUCUGAUAAAAAUGAUUCUUACAUCUCCCAGCAAUGCCUUCUGAUUGUAAUGUAGUUUAUGCCACUGGUUUGCCUAUUUCUCAAAUAUAAACCUACACGCAUGUACACACAUUUGGCCUUAGCCUUUCUAAUUCCACUCUCAUCAGGACAGAUUGCACACCUGUAAACAUUCUUAGAUCAACUCCAGUAAUCAAUCCACAUUCAUGUAACCCCUGCAGAAUAAAGAUCAUUGGAGACCUUCAAGAUUGACUUCCCAUUUAAACCGUAAGAAAACAAGACCCCAAUGUGUCAGCUGCAGAACCACAAUAAGGACCUAAGUCCCAUGUCUUAUUGUUCAGUGGUUUUUCUAAGUCACUGUAAAAUUUUUCUACAUUCCUGGCCUGAGAACAGAAGUACCUUUUGCUUAUCUAUUCAAUUAAAUUCAGUAGUUGGUAAAUGUGAAUAAAGGAAAUCAAAACACUAUUGAAGAUUAUUUAGAUAUGGCUGAGAAGUGGGGUGAACAAACCUGACCCACUUUAACUUAGAGAUUCAAAAUAUAAACUUAACUCAGUUGCAGUCAACAACCUGACAUUAAAUGCAAACAUACAAGUAAAGAACCCAAGUAAACAGAAAAAACUAACCUGCUACCUACCUUUAAACACUAAAUAUAGAGCUCCUGUCGUCCUGUUUCUUACUGAUUUAUAACUUCAAAUAAUGGGUCAAGAAAAAAGCUACAUAUAUGAAAAGAUGAGAUCUGCGUUUCAAUCCAAAUCUUUCUUUCAAUAACCCUACUACUUGAAACCAUAGAAGGAGACAGGAACUUCCUCCCUUGUUUCUUUUUUCUUUUUCAAAACUACCCACUAAUCUUUUAAUUAAAAGUGAAUGAUGGAGAGAUGGCAAGUGAGCAGGAGAAGCUGAGGAACACAGCUCCCUUAUGUAUUUGCACAACGCUAAUCACUCUUCACAUCUUACAGAGAGAUCUGUACUAGUUACAUGGAAUCUAAUCUGUUCUACUAAAGCUGAUGCUGUCAGCUGCCAUGCUUAGCUCUCAUUCAUUAUGCUUGUAGACACAUUUUGAGAAAAUACAUUAUCUAGAAGAGAAACUUCUAAGAAGGUUUUAUAUACUAUAUGAUGCUAAUAUUUUAGAUAAUGUUUUAUGCUAGUUUAAUCUUUGUGUAUUGAAAGAACUCUGAUUUUCCUGGAAGUCCCUAGACAGUACAUUUAAUUAAUCUUACCUCUCAGUUCAACAAGUUGCCUUUUACUUUAGUCAUAUAAUCAAUCUCUUGGUAAUAAUAUAUAGUGAUAUCCAGGCAUGUAUGAUGCAAGCAAGUUUUUAGUUUAAAGCUAAGGAAUUAAAAUGAAAACAAUACAUAGUGCUCUCUGUACAACAAUGACUGAGAAUAGGUAGUCGUGCUCUUUAUAUACAAGGCACUGUGCUGAGCAUAUUUUGUAAGUUAUUGCCAUGAUUCCAUGUAAUUAUGUAUUAUAAUUUUACCUUUGAAGAAGAUAAGCCUCAAAAAUGGCAAGCAGUUCACCCACCCACAUUUAAAUGUCUGUUACACCUCUGAGAUAUACAACCCAUGAAUUCUACCAUUAUUCACUCUGUCUGUCAACUCCAUUCUGUCUUCAUGUACCUCCCAGCCCAAUUGAUGUGUCAAGGCAUUGGAUUUAAUUCAUUCACUCCAGAAAUAUUUAUCACAUGCUUAUAGGUGCUUGGCUCUCUUCUAGGUGCCCAAGUCACAUCAGUGAAAAAAAAAAAUAAACAAGAUCCUCAUCCUCAUCAAGCUUAUAUUUAUUUCCCAACAUCUGAUUUCAAUUUCCUUGCCAUGCACUCCUUUCAUCAUAGAAGCCUUACAAAAUCCCCAAUCCAAUUGAAUCUAAUUCUGUGCUUCAUGUUUCUCACCCUCGCUUGGUAAAACCCACAACUGUGCUUGCCGGAUUUUACCAUAAAUUACUAACCAUGAACUUCAAGUGGUCUAUUAGUGAUCAGUACCAACGCUUUAAUAGUUGUCUGCUCCUUUGACUCUUUCACAUUCCUAAAAGAUUUUCCAUUUUUCUCUGUCUCCUUCCAGCAACUCCUGGCCAAUUCUUAUCUCACCUAAUGACUUUGAUUCUUAUUAUACAAAGACAAUAGUAAAAAUCAGAAGAGUACUUAUACAAACUACCACCAUGAAAAUCAUCACUCUACCUGUAUCUCUCCCGACUCUUGAUCAUCCUUCCUACCACUGUGGAGAAAUUUUUCUGUGCAUUUUUGUUCUCAGUACUGCUGAAGAUUUUUUCCAUGCUUCUGUCCAAGGAGGGCAUCUCUUCACUAGAUCCCAGUUGUAUCAUUCUAGCAUUGGCGCUUAUUUUCUCGCAUAUCACUGGCUUUCCAAUUUUUCCCUUUUAAAAGGAUAAUUCUUAUAAAUUUACAGCUAUAAUAGAUAACAGAAAAAAGCCUCUCUUGAUCCAAGGUCUCCUUCCGUUUCCCACCCCAUUUAUCUCUUUUUCUUUACAUUAAAGUUUUUCCAACUGUUUCCAGUUUCUCCCACAGAAUUCUCUCCUUAAUCUAGCCCUGGAAGACUCUCAGGCCUAUGACUUCAAAAUGAGAUCCUCCACCCAGACCAUUAUUGAUCUCAAAGUUGCUAAGUUCAGGUAAAUUCCUGGUACUUGUCUUACUUGACCUCUGUGGUGCUUAAAUUAGCUGAUCCCUUUCCUUCUUGAAACACAUUGUCCAGUUUAUUUCCAGGAUGCCAUUUUCUUGAUUCUUCUCAUGAGAUUCUGCUCAGAUUUCUUUGUUUGAUCUUUCUCAACUCUCCAGCCUUUGAAAUUUGGGAUGCACUAAAACUCAGUCCAUUGAUAUUUCCUUUUAAAAAUGCCCAUUGCCCUACUGAACACAUCUAGUCUCGUAUCAUCUACACAUGGAUGAUUUCCCAAUUUAUAUUUCCACAUUUAAAUGCCUACUCUAAAUAUUUGCAUGGCUAUCUAAAAAGCAUCUCAAAUGUAACAUGCCCAUAUUUGAUCUCCCUCAUACUUCCCUCUUCCAAUAAAAUUUUCAAGUCUUCUUCUCAGUAAUGGUAAAUACUCUCUACGGCCAUAUCAUCCUGAACAUGCACAAUCUCAUUAACAAUGGCAAAUACUUUCUUCCAGAUGCUGAUGUGGAAAACCUAAUGUUCAUCCUUGAUUAAUAUUUUUCUCUUACAUCACAUAUCUCACCCACCCCUGUACCACCUGUUUCAAGCCAUCAUCACUUUACACCUGCAUUAUUGCAAUAUCCUCCUAAGAAGCUGCUCUUUUUUUUCACCACCUCCAACAUCAGCUCGUAACACAGCAGCCAAAAUGACCAUUUUAAAAUAAAAGUUAGAUCCUCUCUCUCUCUCAGUAUAAACGCUCUUUCUCAGAGUAAAAGCCAGGUCUAACAAUGGCACCUCAUAAUUGUCCAUCUUAUCUCCUGACCUCAUUUCUUACCUCUCUCCUUCUCUAGCUCUUUUCCUUAUACCCUGGAAUCCUUGAACUUGAUCCAGACUCAGGACCUCUUCCUGGAACAUUCUACUCUCUGAUAGCUCUAGAACUAGAAUAUAAGGUAAAUAACACUUGCUGAUUUGAAAAAUAUACUACAAACCUAAGUGGUUUAAUACAAUAUCUUUUUUUUUUUUUUUUUGGCUAAUAUUACAGUCCAGUGAGAAUAUGACAGCACCUCUGGUUAGCUCUCUUCUAAGCAGAGAUUAAGUCCUUGAUUUUGGUCCUAAAGAGAGAAAGAAAAAGCAAGGAGAAGAGUACAGUGAGUUUUAAGAGUCUGACCUGUAAAUGGCCUACAUUUUUCCUUCCCACAUUUCAACAACUACUGCUCAGUCUCAUGACUAAUCUAUCUGCAAAGAGAUAAAUUCAGAAGCACAAAGCUAGCCUAAAUAUUAGAAUGCCCCCCCCCCCCAGAUCUCUGCCACAUUAGUCCCCUGCUUUCCUCAGGAAGACAAGGGAAACUUUUUCUGGCUACCCUGCUUACAAGAGCAACACUUCCUAAAUUAAAUGUUGCUCAGUGAUCUCCAAUCCUGCUUGUUUGUUUGCUGGUUUGAGACAGAGUCAUGCUCUGUCACCCAGGCUGGAGUGCAGUGGUGUGAUCUUGGCUCACUCUAAGCUCCACCUCAUGGGUUCAAGUGAUUAUCCUGCCUCAGCCUCCCAAGUAGCUGGGAUUACAGGUGCCCAGCACUACGCCUGGCUAAUUUUUGUAUUUUUAGUUGAGACGGGGUUUCACCAUGUUGGCCAGGCUAGUCUCAAACUCCUGACCUCAAGUGAUCCAUCUGCCUCGGCCUCCCAAAGUGCUGGGAUUACAGGUGUGACCCACUGGGCCCGGCCCAAUCCUGUUUUUUUAAUGUCCCUGGACACCCAGCUCAACUGCAUGUUUUGCUUUUCUUAAAGUUAGGUGAAGUCAGGCAAUGGAGCUUUUAGACAAGAAAAUGCAUAUAAACUGAGUGGAAUUGAUCAAACCUUGUAAUCCUGCUUCCUUAAAAUGCCUGUGUGCUGUUCUCUACUCCCUUUCUUCAACCACCAACUGAACACAGGGUUCUAGAGUUCUCAGGAGGGCAGAUACAAGAGAGCAGGAGGAUGGGUUCCUGAAUGACCACAUGGAAGGCUUCCCACUAAUAAGAAAUCUUAGUAUUGGACUUCACAUAAACACUGAGAAAAUGGCUCUUUGGGAAGCCACUAAAAUUUUUUUAUUUAUCUGUUAUAGCAGUUAGUUAUAGCCUUCCCAAUUCAAUGUCCUAUGUCUCUGAAUGUGCUUUAUUUAAAACCACAUCACUUAUCACCAUCUGACAUAUUCUGUAUUUGCCUGUCACUUUUUCUCCUGUGUCUUCUGUCCAGAGAAAGUGUUGGCCAACUAUAACCCAAGAGCCAAAUCUAGCUUGCUUCCUGUUUUCAUAUGUAAUUAUUUAUUGGAAUAUAGCCACAGCUAUUCAUUUCUGUAUUUAGAGAGGAGCUGUGUCUAUGCUACAACAGGAGAGUUCAGUAGUUGCAACAGAGAAACUGUAUGAUCUACAAACAAUAUUUACUAUCUGGCCCUUUACAGAAACAGUUUGCCAAUGUUUGUACUAGAAUGUAAACUCCAAGAAUGUAAAACCUUUGUCUCUUUAGUUUGCUGUUAUAUACCCAGCAUUAGAACAGUCUCUGGUCCAUUGCAGGUAUUCAUAUAAUAUUUGUUAAAUGCAUAAUUGAAUAAGUGAAUGAGUGUGCAGCAAGCCAAAAAUGUUCCAGAAAAAAAAUUCAUAUCUAAAUUUCUUGAACCUCUGAAUAUUGCCUUACAUGAAAAAUCAGACAAACAAAAAUCAAUCAUUGCAUGUGAUUAAGUUAAAGAUCUUGACCUAAAAGAUUAUCCAGUAUUAGCCAGAUGGACUCUAAAUACAAUCACAUGUAUCUGUAUAAGAGGGAAGCAGAAAGAAAUUUGACCACACAGACAGAAAAGGAGAGGGGAUGUGAUCACACAGGCAGAGGUUAGACUGAUGUACCACAAGCCAAUGAAUGUUGGUGGCCACUAGAAAUAUUAUCUAAAGGAUUAGGAAUUAUCUGUUUAGAACUUUCCUGAUGGCCACACCCUCCAAACCCCCGAUACUGAUUUCAGAUUUAUGACAUCCAGAACUGUAAAAGAAUAAAUUUCUAUUGUUUAAGCCACCAAGUUUCCAGUAAUUUGUUACAGAGGCAGCAGGAAACCAAUACAGAGGGGAAAAUGACUUAAAACUACUUCUAAUUCCAAGAUAAUGUUCAAAAUGUUCAUGCAAAAACUACUUCUUGUGUCAACAUUCAGUCUAUAUAAGUGCUCUUGAAAUUAAUUAUCACUAUAAUUCAGUCUCAUGAGGAAAAAUAUUUUGGCUUUUUUUGUGAACCAAAAAUUUAUAGCAAUUCAUAAGUUACAGUUUAUGGAUGAAAUUAAACAUAUUUGAGAUUAUUUUUAUAUUAGCACUUUAUAAAUCAGUUGCUGAAAUAGUCUGUUUUGAAAUAUUAGAUAUAACUGCCAGGAAUAAUUCUGAUAUUUUCUUUAACACAUUUUAGUCAUUUCUUGAAUUGCAAUGUUUUAUUAUCAUAAAUUGCCAAACUAAUAAAAUUAAUUGCUAUUGAAAAAUAAGAAUUGUGAAUGUCUUCAGGGUGAGGGCUGAGCAUGUAAAAAGUUUUUUUUUUUCCUUAAAAAAAUGGGACUCAGGGGAGGAAGUUCCCUUCUUCUCCUUCAGAGAAUGUGGUCAUGAUCAUUUCUCCCUGCAAAGACCUGGAAAGGCUGCAGCCGUUUUGGAAAUACGGACUUACACUUGGCUGAUAGGCUGAGUCUGGGAGAGUGCAAAGAUGAAAAAACACCUAGCACAUGGAUCGUGUCACUGAGCUACUGAAUCAAUCACGGAACCAUGCUCCAUCUGUACUUUGUGUUCUCUCAUAGAAUAAAUGUUCACUUUGGGUUGUGUAUCCAUUACUUGAAGCUAAAAAUCUCCCCAUGUAGGCAAUGAUCACUACAAUGGGUUACUUACGUUUCUGAGUAACGUACUCAUUUAAUGAAAAAAAGAUAGAGCAAAGUCCUCAAUCAUAUUUAUCAAUUAACAAGGGUCUGACUAAAACUACUUGAGGUUCCAGGGAGAUAACGUGGGAACCAAGAUAUUUAAUUGUCCAUCUGCCAUUUGAGGAUUUUUUUUUCCCCACAAAAGGAAUCAAUUUGUGUAGCCAUGAUGGUGACUUCAGCUGAUGCCUCUGUUGAGCACUGGCUGUACUGUUUAAAUGAUAUACUAAAAUGGACAAAUGGGCAGAAGCUUCUUCACAAAGAGCAAAUCUAUCUCUGGUUUGCGUGGUAACUUUCAUGCCUGUAGUAGAAUAAACUUCAAUAUAUCCUAUUUAUAAAAUUGCUCUGAAAAUGGAAGACAUCUUAAAAUGUUGGCAUGCACUCAAUAAGGUGGUAUUCUCUCCAAAUUUAAUAUAAAAUUAAUGUUUUAAAAUUGACAACAUCUUUGAAUCUACAAAAUACAUGUGCCCCACUCCAGACCUACUGCCACAUUGACUCUAUACCUACUAAUCUAACAAAUAGUGAGCUUGUUUGGAUUUUGCCAAAAGCAAAUAUUUAAACAUGAGAACAGUUAAUAUUCCCAAUUGCUGCUUCAUAUAAAACUAAGCUAGCAUUUAUUUUAUCUCCCUGUCUUGUUCCUUGUGCACUGUUCUGGCUCUGUAAGAACACUAGACUUUGCAUGAGAAAACUAAGGAUUCAACUGAAGAUGAUUUAUUAAGUUGGUGAUUUAUUUAAGUACAUUUAUUGUCAUUGUUUUGCAACACAUAAUACAAUUUCCAAAAUAACUAGGAAUUGUUUUCUUCUAUUUUAUAUUGUUUUUUGAAUUUCCUCUAUGAAGGAAUCAUUUAACCUUUCAGUUUAGGCACUAUAUUUUUUACCUCAUUAUGCAACAGAAAUGUUUUGAAAGUUGUAGUCUGAAACCCAGAAUUCAGUCUUAGCUCCACAACUUAGUGGUUACUUAGCUCUUCCAAUCUCUGCAUUUGCAUAAGUUUGGGGAUAACCGUAAUUAAGAUACCUUACCUUAAGUGGUAAGAUUUGGGGAUUAAAUGACAAAAUCAGAAAAGUCUUUGUUUGUGUUUAAGUUCUGUAUACAGAUGUUCCU